AUUGAACGCUGGCGGCAGGCCUAACACAUGCAAGUCGAACGGUAACAGGAAGCAGCUUGCUGCUUUGCUGACGAGUGGCGGCCGGGUGAGUAAUGUCUGGGAAACUGCCUGAUGGAGGGGGAUAACUACUGGAAACGGUAGCUAAUACCGCAUAACGUCGCAAGACCAAAGAGGGGGACCUUCGGGCCUCUUGCCAUCGGAUGUGCCCAGAUGGGAUUAGCUUGUUGGUGGGGUAACGGCUCACCAAGGCGACGAUCCCUAGCUGGUCUGAGAGGAUGACCAGCCACACUGGAACUGAGACACGGUCCAGACUCCUACGGGAGGCAGCAGUGGGGAAUAUUGCACAAUGGGCGCAAGCCUGAUGCAGCCAUGCCGCGUGUAUGAAGAAGGCCUUCGGGUUGUAAAGUACUUUCAGCGGGGAGGAAGGGAGUAAAGUUAAUACCUUUACUCAUUGACGUUACCCGCAGAAGAAGCACCGGCUAACUCCGUG
rnacentral:rRNA from 1 species